GACGACCGCUGGCGGCGUGCUUAACACAUGCAAGUCGAACGGUGAAGGGAUCAGCUUGCUGGUUCUGGAUGAGUGGCGAACGGGUGAGUAACACGUGAGUAACCUGCCCCCUUCUUCUGGAUAACCGCAUGAAAGCGUGGCUAAUACGGGAUAUUCUGCGCCUGCUGCAUGGUGGGUGUGGGCACGAUAUUGUUUCGGUGGGGGAUGGGCUCGCGGCCUAUCAGCUUGUUGGUGGGGUGAUGGCCUACCAAGGCGGUGACCGGUAGCCGGCCUGAGAGGGUGGGCGGUCACACUGGGACUGAGACACGGCCCAGACUCCUACGGGAGGCAGCAGUGGGGAAUAUUGCACAAUGGGCGCAAGCCUGAUGCAGCGACGCCGCGUGAGGGAUGGAGGCCUUCGGGUUGUGAACCUCUUUCGCCAGUGAAGCAGGCCUGUCCCUUGUGGGUGGGUUGACGGUAGCUGGAUAAGAAGCGCCGGCUAACUACGUG
rnacentral:rRNA from 1 species